AUCUCUCCAAGUGCAAGACUUGGAGACACGGAGACGCGGAGCCCUUUAACUUCAGCCUUCGUGUCUCCUGGGACAGAUGUGACGAAGGCUGAGGCUGCCUAACUGCUGUGGAGGCACUUGGCAGCUUCUCCACCGAGCCUGGCAGAGAGCCACUGGCUGUGGAAUGGACCUGGCACCCGAGGGAGGAGAGAAGACCCAAGGCGGGGAGAGUCCUGGCCUCUCUCUCACCAGCCCUGAGACUGGGCAGGUGGCCUGGCCUUCACCUUCCCCAGCCUUCUGACGGACUGUCUUGCUCUGUCUCCUGAGGGGCUCAGUGGUCCCCCAAGAGGCCAAGCUCUUCCUCAGUGUCUCCGGAUUGUAGAAUCUGCUUUCCUGUUGUCCGUGAGCUAGAUGGCAGCUACCCUUCAACUGGAGUAUCCUUCUGUAGGUGACCUUGUUCUCUCCAUACCCACUCGGUGGGCUGGGUCCCCAUCCCUGAUUUAUCUGAGUGGGGGACCUGACCUGAACCAUUGGCAUCCUGGAGCUGAAUGUAGAAAGACCUGGCCACACCUCUGUUCCAUCGGUCACUACCACCCUUCUUCCAGCGCCCCCAUGGCUCCACCUUGUCCCCACACGAGGUGGAGUGAAGAGGCGGCAGGCAAGGUCUCCCUGAAACAUCUGAUGAUUCACUAUUGACUCCAUCACUCUUGUGAGGAAGAAAAUAUUUUUAGGAAGAUCCAAGCAAUUUCCUCGGAGGUUCCACUGACCAACACUGAGCCAACACUCACCUCUAAAUACAAAAGAAGCUGGGAAAGGUGGCAUCUGGAACCUUCAGUUCUCUGGCACAUGAGAAGAGUAGAGAAAUGACAAUGGUGGAGUCAGCCACUGGUGGUUUUGUUUAUUUAAAAUUUUGUAACUAUUUCAAACGUCUCUGUCUUUUCUAUAGUUUUUAGGUUUGUUUCUAUAAAUAAGCUGUAAAAUUCUUGAACAGUAAAAAUUGUGACUUCCGUG
ensembl:lncRNA